rnacentral:rRNA from 1 species
UACGUAGGGGGCGAGCGUUGUCCGGCGUUCCUGGGCGUAAAGCGCACGCAGGCGGUCUGCUCAGUUUGGAGUGACAGUUGGUGGCUUAACUGCCAAAGUGCUUCGAAAACUGACAGACUUGAGGGCUUCAGAGGGACACGGAAUUCCGGGUGGAGUGGUGAAAUGCGUAGAGAUCCGGAGGAACACCAAAGGCGAAGGCAGUGUCCUGGGGAGUACCUGACGCUCAGGUGCGAAAGCCAGGGGAGCGAACGGG